rnacentral:rRNA from 1 species
AGUGAACGCUGGCGGUAGGCCUAACACAUGCAAGUCGAACGGCAGCACAGUAAGAGCUUGCUCUUACGGGUGGCGAGUGGCGGACGGGUGAGGCAUACAUCGGAAUCUACUUUUUCGUGGGGGAUAACGUAGGGAAACUUACGCUAAUACCGCAUACGACCUACGGGUGAAAGCAGGGGAUCUUCGGACCUUGCGCGAUUGAAUGAGCCGAUGUCGGAUUAGCUAGUUGGCGAGGUAAAGGCCCACCAAGGCGACGAUGCGUAGCCGGUCUGAGAGGAUGAUCAGCCACACUGGAACUGAGACACGGUCCAGACUCCUACGGGAGGCAGCAGUAGGGAAUAUUCGGCAAUGGGCGCAAGCCUGAUCCAGCAAUACCGCGUGGGUGAAGAAGGCCUUCGGGUUGUAAAGCCCUGUUGUUGGGAAAGAAAAGCAGCAGGUUAAUCCACGGCUGUUCUGACGGUACCCAAAGAAUAAGCAACGGCUAACUUCGUG